GGGGAUGUUCCGGUUUCGACAGGCAGGAACGACUUCCGAGGGCAGUGGAGUGGCUUCCUUAAAAGCCGACACAAUUACAAGUGCCAAUAAACCUGUUAUGUUCCGUGCUCCGGCCAUGAUGGCCUGCGCUGCCUAGUUUAACUAGACUUUUGCGCCUUUUUGGGACAUAGUCCCUUUGCACGAAUCAGAUUGGAUCUAGUAAGCUCAUCCGUCUGAUACUUUAGAACUUACUUCAUGGUCGGGCUUCCUUUCCCUGAUCAUGUGACACAAGGAAGGAUCGAAAGAUGCAAUCUUCGUCCAUGUCUUGCUUCUUUCUAAUAUUAGACGUGGAAGAAACUGUGGUUCCUCGUUAGAGAUUCUUGUUUGGACGUGGGUUCGACUCCCAUCAUCUCCACCA
rnacentral:tmRNA from 1 species